UAGAGAUCGGAAGUGAUAGAGGAGCCUAACCGCUUCCAAUCACGACCUUUGAUUGACAAGUUUAGCGCCUUGCUGUCAGAUUAUAGGUAGUUAAAGCAGUCUAGUACAGCCCAAUCUACACCGUUGAUCACAAUUGUAAGGAUAAAUUCGAAGCCCUUAGAUCAAAAGUAAAUAACAGAAUCGGUGCCUUUUGUUCCCAGCCCUUGGAUCCAUCUUGUAAGGCAAGACCCUGAGCCGUUGGAUUAAG
rnacentral:misc_RNA from 1 species